ensembl:misc_RNA Metazoa_SRP Metazoan signal recognition particle RNA
GCUGGGCAGGGUGGCAUGUGCCUGUAGUCCCAGCUCCUCAGGAGGCUGGGGCUAGAGGAUCACUUGAGUCCACGAGUUCUGGGCUGUAGUGCGCUAUGCUGAUAAGGUGUUGGUUCUAAGUUCAGCAUCAAUAUGGUGACCUCCCAGGAGCAGAGGACCACCAGGUUGCCUAAGGAGGGGUGAACCAGCCCAGGUCGGAAAUGGAGCAGGUCAGAACUCUUGUGCUGAUCAGUAGUGGGAUGACGCCUGUGAAUAGCCACUGCAGUCCAGCCUGGGCAACAUAACAAGACCCUGUCUCUA